rnacentral:rRNA from 1 species
CCUACGGGCGGCUGCAGUGAGGAAUAUUGGUCAAUGGGCGCGAGCCUGAACCAGCCAAGUAGCGUGAAGGCUGACUGCCCUACGGGUUGUAAACUUCUUUUAUAAAGGAAUAAAGUGAGGCACGUGUGCCUUUUUGUAUGUACUUUAUGCAUAAGGAUCGGCUAACUCCGUGCCAGCAGCCGCGGUAAUACGGAGGAUCCGAGCGUUAUCCGGAUUUAUUGGGUUUAAAGGGAGCGUAGAUGGGGUGUUAAGUCAGUUGUGAAAGUUUGCGGCUCAACCGUAAAAUUGCAAUUGAUACUGGCAGUCUAGAGAACAGUUGAGGUAGGCGGAAUUUGUGGUGUAGCGGUGAAAUGCUUAGAUAUCACGAAGAACUCCGAUUGCGAAGGCAGCUUACUAAGCUGCCACUGACAUUGAUGCUCGAAAGUGUGGGUAUCAAACAGGAUUAGAUACCCCUGUAGUC